rnacentral:rRNA from 1 species
AUUGAACGCUGGCGGCAGGCCUAACACAUGCAAGUCGAGCGGAUGAAGGGAGCUUGCUCCUGGAUUCAGCGGCGGACGGGUGAGUAAUGCCUAGGAAUCUGCCUGGUAGUGGGGGAUAACGUCCGGAAACGGGCGCUAAUACCGCAUACGUCCUGAGGGAGAAAGUGGGGGAUCUUCGGACCUCACGCUAUCAGAUGAGCCUAGGUCGGAUUAGCUAGUUGGUGGGGUAAAGGCCUACCAAGGCGACGAUCCGUAACUGGUCUGAGAGGAUGAUCAGUCACACUGGAACUGAGACACGGUCCAGACUCCUACGGGAGGCAGCAGUGGGGAAUAUUGGACAAUGGGCGAAAGCCUGAUCCAGCCAUGCCGCGUGUGUGAAGAAGGUCUUCGGAUUGUAAAGCACUUUAAGUUGGAAGGAAGGGCAGUAAGUUAAUACCUUGCUGCUUUGACGUUACCAACAGAAUAAGCACCGGCUAACUUCGUG